UUCCUGUUCGUUUCCUCUGUGAAUAGAUUGAUUCUUUCUCUCAAUCCGCUAGUACUUGGUACAUCAUCAGUUUUUAUUAAAUUUGACUUGCUUUUAAAUGCUCAGCAUUAGAUUGCCUUUGCUGUAGUAUCAGCAUUUCUAACUGCCGCAAAUAAUUGCACGCACGUGGUCGAAGGCCGGUUUCUACAAUGGAAGCCGCAUCAGCUGCCGCAAAUAGUUGCACG